rnacentral:lncRNA from 1 species
UAGGAUCUUGCUAUGUUGCCCUGGCUGGGAUGCAGCGGCUAUUCACAGGUGCAAUCAUAGUGCACUACAGCCUCAAACUCCUAGCCUCAAGCAAUCCUCAUGCCUCAGCCUCCAGAGUAGCUGGGCCUACAGGUACUUAACACCUCAUCUGGCAUCCCCCAGUCAGAUAUUUGGAUGAGACCCCUGCCUUGGCUAACACCUUGAUGAAAACCUGUGGAAGGUUCUAAGGCAGGAGCAAUAGCAAAAAUUGGGAAUGGGAAGAAACAGGUACCAGCCAGGACACCUGAACGAACUUGGAGCUCAGGAACCCAGGAGGGGAUUGGAGAGAGUGGGGAGACUCCAUGGUCCACAAUGAAUGCUCCUUCCCCAUCCGAAAAAAUCCCCUAGCCCAGUUUUUGGGCAGAUGCCAGACUUUUAUUCUGAAGCGUGGGCCACAACCUAUGAGGUAAUCUUUGGAGCUUCAUUCUGAGGCGGAAUCCCAUUGGCCAGUUGGGGAAGCCCCUCCCAGGAUUCCUGGCGCUCCGCCUUCCCUGAAGCCUAUAAAAGCGCAGGUCCCCGCCUCGGCAGCCACGGGACACCUGCAUCUGCCAACAAGACUGGAAGCAGAAAGGGACAGAGACGGCGAAGUUUGACGGUCUGGAAAGCAGAGACCAGCAGGGCUGACUGCUUGGGAGCACCAAAUAUCCGGACAGCGCCUCUCGGGAGGUCCGAGAAGAGAACCGCGAUCUGUUUCAGCACCGGGGCUCAGGACAGUUCCCAGCGGGCUCCGUUUCGUCUCCAGAACCCUGGACAGCUCCUCCAGCUUGGAAUGCACUCCCUCCACCUCCAACCAGAGCUCCCCACAACUGACCCUGCCUUCUUCUGCAAGCUCCAUUUCAUCAAGGGAAACGAUCCUUAUUGCCUCACCAUUUCCCACGUGAAGUCUGUAUUGACAUUCUCAUAGACCUGGGAUAUUGUGUCUGCAGCACAUAGUCCAAUUAUUUUCAUGUUAUCUACUGACAGGUCUAUUUGUCUCCCUGUUACACUGUGAGCUCCGUGAGGGCAGAAACAAUGUUAGUAUUUUCACUGCUGUGUCCCCAGCGCCUGGUCCGGGGCCCGGCACACAGCAGGCAUAUAAUAAGCAUGUGUUGAAUCAAUAAAGGCAUCAAAGAAUAAACCAAUACAUCAAUCAAUAAAUGAAUGAAUGGCCUCAGCACACACAGGAAGAUCCUUCUUCUAGGUCUCCCCCAGAGAGAUACUGGAGGGCAAUGGUUGCUGGAGGUGUUUAUUGGGGAAGCAUAAUUGAAUUUGUGGACACUUAAGGGCCGGCCAGCCAACUCACAGCCCCAAGAGAGAGAGCCAGGCUCAUUUAAUUAGCAAUUACAAGGCACUGAUUCCUCAUUAGCUCUGGCAACCCUCGUCUCCCUCCUCAGCCCCAGACAAAUGAAAUCUUUCUCUCUCUCCCAGGAGUACUGCCUCAGUGGGUCCAUUAACAAGCAGAGAAAAUGAGAUUAGAAGACACCUAAAUGCCAGAGGCACUUUAUGAAUGGGCUGAGCAGAGGGAGGUUCAAUGUCUGGGUUAGGUCUAAUUGUGGGAGGUUUCCUGGUCUAUUUAGAAUUGCCCCCUGGGAAUGCAAGGUCUUUCAGAAAGGAAAAGGCACACAGAUAUUGCCUUCUGGGGUCCUCAAUGGAGGAGGACAUUCUGCUAUGGGUGUCUCCCAGUCACCCCAAAUUAAUCAUUUCAAAGUGAACACUCAAUCUGCCCAGCCCCUAGCUUCCUCCCCUGACAUGCCCAUGAAUAUGACAGUCCCUCUACAUGCCCAAGAUCCUCCCCUCCUCAUCCACUCCCCAUGAUCCCCAAGAUGAGUCACUGUGCUCAAAUCCAUCCUCUCUCCUCCAGCCCUCUGCCUCCAUGACCUCCCUCCAGCCCUCUGCCUCCAUGACCUCCGCCUCCCUGCAUGUCCGGAUCUCCUCACUGUCUCCCCUCUGAGCAUACACACACAUACAGCCUGUUCAUUCUCUACAUGCAGCGAGGGGACUUUCCAGAACACACAUCUGACCAAGUUCCACUCCUGCCUGUCACCCUUCCAAGAGCCCCACUGACUGCAGAAUAACGUUCAAAUAUCCGGUUGGGCGUGGUGGCUCAUGCCUGCAGUCCCAGCACUUUGGGAGGCCAAGGUGGGUGGAUCACUUGCACAGGACCACAGGCGUGUGCCACCACACCCAGCUAAUUUUUAUAUUUUUGGUAGAGACGGAGUUUCACCAUGUUGGCCAGGCUGACCUCAAGUGAUCCACCCGCCUCAACCUCCCAAAGUGCUGGGAUUACAGGCAUGAGUCACUGCACCGGUCUAAUUUUUUCAGAGUCUCACUCUUGCCCAGGCUGGAGUGCAGUAGCAUGAUCUCGGUUCACUGCAACCUCUGCCUCCUGGUUUCAAGCGAUUCUCUUGGCUCAGCCUCCUGAGCAGCUGGGAUUACAGGCACGUGCCACCACACUUAGCUAAUUUUUGUAUUUUUAGUAGAGAUGGGGGUCUCACCAUGCUGGCACAGUUGGUCUUGAACUCCUGACCUCAAGUGAUCCACCCACCUCGGCUUCCCAAAGUGCUGGGAUUACAGACGUGAGCCACCGCGCCCGGCCAGCCUUUAUUGAUUCUUUUUAAAGCCACACUAACCUUUUAUUUUCCCCCAAAGACCCCUGGGAGCCCUCAGUUUUUCCUGGCAGUUUCAUCUUUGUACCCCUGACCUCCCCACACACACGCCUAGCUCAGUGCUGGCAUCCAAUAUUCACUUUGGGUAUAAAUGCUUGUGCCUGAGCCUAUCACCUUCAUCACACAGAAAAUCCUGGAGGCCACACACCCCUGUAAAGACGAGCCAUUACCCACAGAGGUCCAACCAACUUACCACCCUCUCCCAGCCACCCCCAAGGACCCAGCUUGCAGCUGCCUGCUCAAUGGCUUUAGAAACUAAAAAAGGUGAAUGAGUUUCCAUCACUGCCCUCCUGGGCUUUGCCGUUAUGGCUGGUUAACUUGACAGAAGAACACAUUAUACUUCAUUUUUUGCUGUUGUCUUGUUGGAAAAAAAAGUGACAGCUGGGUGCAGUGGUGCACACUGUAGUCACAGCUACUCAGGAGAAUUGCUUGAGCACAGGAAUUGGAGGCUACACUGAGCAAUGAUCGCCUCACUGCACUCCAGCCUGAACGACAGAGCAAGACCCUCUUAAAAAAUACGUGAGAGAGGGUGCGUAUGAUGGCUCAUGCCUGUAAUCCCAGCAGUUUG